rnacentral:rRNA from 1 species
AUUGAACGCUGGCGGCAGGCCUAACACAUGCAAGUCGAGCGGAGCGGCGGACGGGUGAGUAAUGCCUAGGAAUCUGCCUGGUAGUGGGGGAUAACGUCCGGAAACGGGCGCUAAUACCGCAUACUAUCAGAUGAGCCUAGGUCGGAUUAGCUAGUUGGUGGGGUAAAGGCCUACCAAGGCGACGAUCCGUAACUGGUCUGAGAGGAUGAUCAGUCAAACUGGAACUGAGAAACGGCCCAGACUCCUACGGGAGGCAGCAGUAGGGAAUCUUCGGCAAUGGGGGGAACCCUGACCGAGCAACGCCGCGUGAGUGAAGAAGGUCUUCGGAUUGUAAAGCACUUUAAGUUGGGAGGCGUUACCAACAGAAUAAGCACCGGCUAACUUCGUGCCAGCAGCCGCGGUAAUUC